AGGGCACGAUGAGCAUGACCAGCGCCAGCUCCAGUUGAGGGUUUGCGAUGUAGCCCAACAGAACCUCUUGGAGCUGGGAAGGACACCGCAUUCAAUGAAAAACAAUUCCCGACUUUUGUUUCAGAUCAAUCAGGACGCGCGCAUACUUUGGACCAUCCUGGCACGAGCAGCACCAGGCUGAUGGCGCCUUUCUCCAGAACCAUGAUGAGCAGCGCGUCUCCGAACUCACCGUACUCGCCAAACGUGAGCUGCGUCCACUGCUUGUACUCCACCACGCGCGACACCAGCGUGACGCCCAGCCAGAUGACCAGCAUGCCCACCGUAGCGUCCAGCAGGAAGUUCAUCAGGUAGCUGGGAAACGACAACAAAAGAUAAGAAAUGACCUUUUUGAUUUCAUGGAUACCAAAAAUGAUGGCGUGCAACUGACAGCGAGCAAGGGUCCUCUUUGGUGAGCGUGGACAGGAAGACGUUGGCGAAGUGGAUGAACAGAGCGCCAAUGGCCUGCUU